GUGAGGAAUAUUGGUCAAUGGGCGCAAGCCUGAACCAGCCAUGUCGCGUGCAGGAAGACGGUCCUAUGGAUUGUAAACUGCUUUUAUUUGGGAAUAAACUCCGGUACGUGUACCGGCCUGAAGGUACCAAAUGAAUAAGCACCGGCUAACUCCGUGCCAGCAGCCGCGGUAAUACGGAGGGUGCAAGCGUUAUCCGGAAUCAUUGGGUUUAAAGGGUCCGCAGGCGGUCUUAUAAGUCAGUGGUGAAAGCCUACAGCUCAACUGUAUAACUGCCAUUGAUACUGUAGGACUUGAAUUCGAUCGAAGUGGGCGGAAUGUGACAUGUAGAGGUGAAAUGCUUAGAUAUGUCACAGAACACCGAUAGCGAAGGCAGCUCACUAGGUCUGGAUUGACGCUCAGGGACGAAAGCGUGGGGAGCAAACAGGAUUAGAAACCCCGGUAGUCC
rnacentral:rRNA from 1 species